rnacentral:rRNA from 1 species
GGCCUUCGGGUCGUAAACUGCUUUUAUAAGUGAUGAAUAUGACAGUAGCUUAUGAAUAAGGAUCGGCUAACUACGUGCCAGCAGCCGCGGUCAUACGUAGGAUCCGAGCGUUAUCCGGAGUGACUGGGCGUAAAGAGUUGCGUAGGUGGUUUAAUAAGUGAAUAGUGAAAUCUGGUGGCUCAACCAUUCAGACCGUUAUUCAAACUGUUAAACUCGAGAACAGCAGAGGUAACUGGAAUUUCUUGUGUAGGAGUGAAAUCCGUAGAUAUAAGAAGGAACACCAAUGGCGUAGGCAGGUUACUGGGCUGUUUCUGACACUGAGGCACGAAAGCGUGGGGAGCGAACCGGAUUAGAUACCCGGGUAGUCCACGCCGUAAACUAUGGAUACUAGCUGUUUGGGGUAUCGACCCCCUGAGUAGCGAAGCUAACGCGUUAAGUAUCCCGCCUGUGGAGUACGAUCGCAAGAUUAAAACAUAAAGGAAUUGACGGGGACCCGCACAAGCGGUGGAUCAUGUUCUUUAAUUCGAUGAUAACCGAUAAACCUUACCAGGACUUGACAUCCUUGGGAGCACUACGAAAGUAGAGUGUGCCUUUUGGAACCAAGUGACAGGUGAUGCAUGGCCGUCGUCAGCUCGUGUCGUGAGAUGUUAGGUUAAGUCCUUCAACGAGCGCAACCCUUGUGAAUAGUUGUAUUUUUCUAUUCAAACUGCCCCGGUAACGGGGAGGAAGGAGGGGAUGACGUCAGGUCAGUAUUUCCCUUACGUCCUGGGCUAGAAACGUGAUACAAUGGCUAGUACAAUGCGCCGCGAAGCCGCGAGGUGAAGCAAAUCGCAUCAAAGCUAGUCCCAGUUCGGAUUGGAGGCUGAAACUCGCCUCCAUGAAGUCGGAAUCGCUAGUAAUCGCAGAUCAUCAUGCUGCGGUGAAUACGUUCCCGGGUCUUGCACACACCGCCCGU